GUAAUACAAAAAAAUACACUACAAAUGUUAUUUAGUUCAUUCUCAUAUAUUCUUUUGAUGAAUUUAUUACGAGAAGUAUGGAGUAGAAUGAGAGAACGAUACAUGUCAAAUUAUAUAGAGAAGCCCAAACGGCAUUAUGGGAAAAUCCACGCCUGGGUGGUGAGUAGAGUAGCACUUUGGUCUAAAUAAUUCUGCAGAAAAAUUUGCUUUAAAAAGCUUCUUUUUGAAAGACGUCAAACAAUUUUCAUACGUUUCCUGUCUUUGUCACAGCUUUGCAAAAAUUAAUUUAAAUUGCUUGGGCUUUUAAGCUGAUUGGCUUUCAGAAGAUUAAAUUUCCGGUGUAUAGGUAUGAUAAAAAGAAGUUUUGAAGACAUUUCACAACACAUAUACAAACUGCCAAAAUCAAAUAAAUUCUGAGCUUAAUACUACAUAGUCAAAUCUCUGUGAACAGAUGGAAUCCACUUCAGUUUGGCGAAUUGUUCUUAUCUUCCUUGUUUUAGUCACUUCAAACUGGACUGAGGGUGAAUGUAUCGUAGAAAAUACAAAAAUUUGUAACUCUCAUCCAGAAUGCGAGCCAAUGUGCCAAAGUGGUUCUCAGGGUAUAUGCUCAUUCGCACUAAACCCACCAAAAUGUCUGGAGGACCCGGGAACACUACCACUCAGUAAUACAAAAGUAGAAAAACAGAUUAACAGCAAGAAGGAAACUGUAAGAUAGUACCAUAAUGAACAGUUUACUGAAUUUAGUAUGUCUCUUUUGAAUUACGGAUCAAAAUACAUACAGUAAACGAUGAUAAACGUUUAUGCCAUAUACAGUUAACUAAAAUAUAAUUCCCUCCAUUUUACGUAAACUUCAGUAGACAAGAAAAUAUAGUUGAAAUCAACCAAUGUAAACCAAUGUGAUUAAUUAUUAACUUAAAGAUUAUCUGAGUUAUUUCACUUACGCUCUUUGCAUGAUGUAGUGUAUAUAUGUUUGUGUAUACAUAUAUAUAUAUGUUGAACUAGUUUUCCUUUUCAUAUUGUAGUCUUGUAGAAUUAACGUAUAUUGAAUAUUUUAUUAUCUACGCUGGCGAAUUAUGUAAUUAUAUAUAAGUAUUUUACCAACGCUCUCUCUCUGUAGCUACAAGUUUCACAAAGGAGAAGGCGAAGCAAUGCAUAUCCUAGUUGCAAUAAAUGAUGUUUUAUCUUGA